AUUGAACGCUGGCGGCAGGCCUAACACAUGCAAGUCGAGCGGAGCGGCGGACGCGUGAGUAUUGCCUAGGUAUCUGCCUGGUAGUGGGGGAUAACGUUCGCAAACGGGCGCUAAUACCGCAUACUCUUGGAUUAACCUAGGUCGGAUUAGCUAUUGGGUGGGGUAAUGGCCUUCCAAGGCGACGACCCGUAACUGGUCUGAGAGGAUGAUCAGUCACACUGGAACUGAGACACGGUCCGGACUCCUACGGGAGGCAGCAGUGGGGAAUAUUGGACAAUGGGCGAAAGCCUGAUGCAGCCAUGCCGCGUGUGUGAAGAAGGUCUUCGGAUUGUAAAGCACUUUAAGUUGGGAGGCGUUACCAACAGAAUAAGCACCGGCUAACUUCGUGCCAGCAGCCGCGGUAAUUC
rnacentral:rRNA from 1 species